UGGGGAAUAUUGCACAAUGGGCGCAAGCCUGAUGCAGCCAUGCCGCGUGUAUGAAGAAGGCCUUCGGGUUGUAAAGUACUUUCAGCGAGGAGGAAGGCGUUGUGGUUAAUAACCGCAGCGAUUGACGUUACUCGCAGAAGAAGCACCGGCUAACUCCGUGCCAGCAGCCGCGGUAAUACGGAGGGUGCAAGCGUUAAUCGGAAUUACUGGGUGUAAAGCGCACGCAGGCGGUCUGGCAAGUCGGAUGUGAAAUCCCCGGGCUCAACCUGGGAACUGCAUCCGAAACUGGCAGGCUAGAGUCUUGUAGAGGGGGGUAGAAUUCCAGGUGUAGCGGUGAAAUGCGUAGAGAUCUGGAGGAAUACCGGUGGCGAAGGCGGC
rnacentral:rRNA from 1 species